ACUAUAAGUCUCCUGAAGGAACGUUGAAGACGACGACGUUGAUAGGCCGGGUGUGUAAGCGCAGCGAUGCGUUGAGCUAACCGGUACUAAUGAACCGUGAGGCUUAACCUUACAACGCCGAAGCUGUU
rnacentral:rRNA from 1 species